GAUGAACGCUGGCGGCGUGCUUAACACAUGCAAGUCGAACGGUGAAGCAGGAGCUUGCUCUUGUGGAUCAGUGGCGAACGGGUGAGUAACACGUGAGCAACCUGCCCCUGAAUCUGGGAUAAGCGCUGGAAACGGCGUCUAAUACUGGAUAUGUGAUGUGACCGCAUGGUCUGCAUCUGGAAAGAAAUUCGGUUGGGGAUGGGCUCGCGGCCUAUCAGCUUGUUGGUGCGGUAAUGGCUCACCAAGGCGACGACGGGUAGCCGGCCUGAGAGGGUGACCGGCCACACUGGGACUGAGACACGGCCCAGACUCCUACGGGAGGCAGCAGUGGGGAAUGUUGGACAAUGGGCGCAAGCCUGAUCCAGCCAUGCCGCGUGCGGGAAGAAGGCCUUCGGGUUGUAAACCGCUUUUGGCAGGAACGAAACGGCGCGAGCUAAUACCUCGCGCUAAUGACGGUACCUGCAGAAUAAGCACCGGCUAAC
rnacentral:rRNA from 1 species